GGCUAUCCCAACCAGAGGUGAUAAAGAGGGUACCUACUUGAUUCUGUUACUGAGAACAUAACGCAAAAGGCCCAGGCACAGGCUGAAUCCCAAACACAUCAAUAAUUUCAUUGUUAAACUGAUACAUAUUUCAACAACAGAAAUUCCAGGAACCAACCACACCCCACAUAUUAUAAAAGGCAAAGAAAAAUAUAAAGAUGAAAAUAAUCAGGAAAAAUCUAAAACUAUAGGUUUAAUGAAACCUCCUUUAACCAAUUAAAUUAAUUUCCCACCAACAGAGAUCCUCAUAUCACACUCUAGAGGUCCUUAAGUAGACUGCCAUUGUCACCUGAGCCUUAAGUAGGAAAAGAUGUUCCACAAACUCAGGCUUUCAUCAAAAGUCACCCAGAGAUUGUAAUGAGGCACACAGAGGCCCAACACACUGAAAUAGGCAGGAUACAGUCCAUACCUCUACAUGGUCACCAAAUUCCCCACUGGCAGAGGAGGCUGACCUGCAUCCUGAAUUCAGCCAGACAAUAAGAGCUGCCAGCCACCUAUGCCUUCUGGAAUUCGUUGUGCAUUCCAUUUUCCUUGACUUAAGAGAGCCAAGAAUUUCUUUAAGCUCAAAGAGUCCUCUUUUGAACUCUCCAUGAGAACAAGUCUCUAUGUUCCACCCCUGGAGCGAGCACUAGAUAGAUAGAUGAUAGAUAGAUAGAUAGAUAGAUAGAUAGAUAGAUAGAUAGAUAGAUAGAUAGAUAGAUAGAUAGAUAGAUGGCGAUAGCACACUUUGGGUCUUUAAGAGCUACUACUCUCUGACUAGAGAUGUGUUAAAAUGUUUACCUAGCUGAGUGGUAAUGGCCCAUGCCUUUAAUCCCAGCAAUCUCAAGACAGAGGCGGGUGGAUCUUGUGAGUUCGAGGCCAGCCUAGUCUACAGAAUCAGUUCUAGGACAGCCAAGCCUUCACAGAGAAACCCUAUUUCAGAAAAAAAAAAGGCAUUAUUAAUUAAUAAUUAAUUAGUUAAAAUGAUUAUCUAGUAUGCACAAAAUCUUAGGUUCCCCUCCCAACAAUACCAAGCUGCUCUGAAACAAAAGGUGACAAAAUCACACAAAUUUUGUGUAAGUUUUUUGUUCCAAUGUUAAUAUUUCUUCUGUUACACACACACACACAUAUACACACUUUUAAGCACGAGGAACAUGCAUACAACUCCAUUCUGACACUAUGAAAUCCCAUCCCUGCUUCCUAUUUUGGGGGGAGUCAGAGAGCACCAGUGUAUGUGACCGGCUAACAGAGGUCUUGUGUUACAGCAGACCUGAUCUCUAAGUGGUCCCCGCCUAGGUAGUGACAUUCAUCUUCUGAGAGGAGCCUUCCUUUUGUGAGUGGGGAGAAAACAAAAGGCCUGCCUUCUGGGUCAGGGACAGAGAGGGCCCAGGAGCAUCAGGGGACCCUGCAUCUAGCAGCUGGGAAUGAUAUAGCCCUUGCCUUGUCUAGCCUGUGUUUCUCUCUGCUACACUGGUGUUUUUUUCUCCCCAGCUGAAGACUUGAAUAAAUAAUUUGAUUUUCUGUUAUUGCCGGCGAUUACCGCAUCUUCUUAUUUAACUUAUGUCUUCUUUCCAAGCGAGAGUAUCCAGGUUUCGGUUGGAUCUAUUUUAAGGUGAAUUAAUUAACCAGCAUAAUAAUACAUUCAUGUUUCUUUUUUCAAUAUAUUUUUACUCUAAAAUAGUUACAGAACACAUGCCAAUGAACCCAUAGUAAACCACACCAUCUUUUUGGGUUUGUCUGUUGCUCCCUUCCUCCCUCACAGGGAAACCUGCCCCCGGACUACAGAAUCAGCCUGAUAGACAUUGGCCUGGUGAUCGAGUACCUGAUGGGCGGGGCUUACCGCUGCAACUACACGCGCAAGCGCUUUCGGACCCUCUACCACAAUCUCUUUGGCCCCAAAAGGGUGAGCUUCUCGCUUGUUCUUAGGCUAUUUGGGGAAGACUAGGAAGGAGAGAUUUAAGGUAUAACCCCUUGUCUCCAAGGGGAAAACGAGUUG
rnacentral:lncRNA from 1 species